GACGAACGCUGGCGGCGUGCUUAACACAUGCAAGUCGAACGAUGAAGCCGGAGCUUGCUCCGGUGGAUUAGUGGCGAACGGGUGAGUAACACGUGAGCAAUCUGCCCUUGACUCUGGGAUAACUGCGGGAAACUGUAGCUAAUACCGGAUACGACACCUUGGGGCAUCCCAGGGCGUGGAAAGAAUUUCGGUCAAGGAUGAGCUGGCGGCCUAUCAGCUAGUUGGUGAGGUAAUGGCUCACCAAGGCGACGACGGGUAGCCGGCCUGAGAGGGUGAACGGCCACACUGGAACUGAGACACGGUCCAGACUCCUACGGGAGGCAGCAGUGGGGAAUAUUGCACAAUGGGCGAAAGCCUGAGACAGCAACGCCGCGUGAGGGAUGAAGGCCUUCGGGUUGUAAACCUCUUUUAGCAGGGAAGAAGCGAAAGUGACGGUACCUGCAGAAAAAGCACCGGCUAACUACGUGCCAGCCGCCGCGGUAA
rnacentral:rRNA from 1 species